rnacentral:rRNA from 1 species
GAUGAACGCUGGCGGCGUGCCUAAUACAUGCAAGUCGAGCGAACAGACGAGGAGCUUGCUCCUCUGAUGUUAGCGGCGGACGGGUGAGUAACACGUGGAUAACCUACCUAUAAGACUGGGAUAACUUCGGGAAACCGGAGCUAAUACCGGAUAACAUGUUGAACCGCAUGGUUCAACAGUGAAAGACGGUCUUGCUGUCACUUAUAGAUGGAUCCGCGCCGCAUUAGCUAGUUGGUAAGGUAACGGCUUACCAAGGCAACGAUACGUAGCCGACCUGAGAGGGUGAUCGGCCACACUGGAACUGAGACACGGUCCAGACUCCUACGGGAGGCAGCAGUAGGGAAUCUUCCGCAAUGGGCGAAAGCCUGACGGAGCAACGCCGCGUGAGUGAAGAAGGUCUUCGGAUCGUAAAACUCUGUUAUUAGGGAAGAACAAAUGUGUAAGUAACUAUGCACGUCUUGACGGUACCUAAUCAGAAAGCCACGGCUAACUACGUG